rnacentral:rRNA from 1 species
AAGUAAAGGCAUCGGACGGAUACCUAGACAUAAAAUAGAUGAAGGGACGUAAAAAAAUGCGAUAAGCGUCAAUAUUAUCCUUAAAUGGUAUUAAAUAUAAAAAAUUGACGAUUUCCCUAGAGGAAACUUUCCUUAUAUAGGAAUUGCGAAUUAAAGCAAGAUAACUUUCUGAAGUGAAACAUCUCAGUAAGAAAAGGAAAAGAAAUCAAACGAGAAUUUGUAAGUAGUGGCGAACGAAAGCAAAAAUGUCCAUAAAAACUAAAUAAAAAUAAUUAAUUUAUCCAACCAUGAAUUUGGGAUCUAUGUAAAAGAGUAUAAGAAUACAACCAAAGAAGGUGAAAGUCCUGUAUAUAUUAGAUGAAAAAUGGAAACUAAUGAAUAAUUUUUUUCUUUGAAAGAAAAAUUAGUAAAACAACACAUGUGAAAUGUUGUUUGAAGAUCGGGAAACCAUUCUCGAAGGACAAAAUAUAUUUUAUGAUCUAUAGUGAACAAGUACCGUGAGGGAAAGGUGUAAAAAGAGCGUGAAAUCCGAAUGUUUAACAAGCAGUUGAAGUCAAAUUUAAAAGAACUACAGCGUACCUUUUGUAUAAUGGGCCAGCAAGUUUAGAUGUAUUGGCAAGCUUUGAAGGCGUAGGGAAACCGAGUUUGAAAGAUAGCGAAAAGUCAAUAAUCUAAGACCCGAAACUGAGUGAUCUAGUCAUGGCCAGGCUGAAAGCCAUUUAACAAUGGACUGGAGGGCCGAACACACGUCUGUGGAAAGAGGCGGUGAUGAGCUGUGAUUAGGGGUGAAAGGCUAAUCAAACUCAGUGAUAGCUGGUUUUCCGCGAAAUCUAUUUAGGUAGAGCGUAUCUUAUUUUCUCGUGGGGUAGAGCACUGUUCAAGGAAGGGGGUUUCAUCGCCUACCGACUUUAAGCAAACUCCGAAUACACUAGAGAUAAAAAAUUAAGGUAUAGACAGUCUAUGGGUGAUAAGAUCCAUAGACGAGAGGGCAACAGCCCAGAUUGAAUGUUAAGGUCCCUAAAUUUGUUCUAAGUCUAAGGAAGUCAUCAAAUGAAAAGAAUACUAAGGUAGGCUUGGAAGCAGCCAUUCUUAAAUUUUUGGAAAGCGUAACAGCUCAUUGACCUAAUUUCUUGGCACUAAAAAUGUACGGGUUUAAAGAACAAUACCGAAACAACAACUUUGUUUAUUAUUAUAAAUGAAGGGUAGCGGAACUAUCUGUUUUCCGAAGACUAAAAAUUGUAAAAUUCUUUAAGAGGAAUCAGAAUGAUAAUGCUGGCAUGAGUAACGAUAAACUUCAUUAAGAAUUGAAGUCGCCGUAAGCCCAAGGUUUUCUCACACAAUGUUCGACAGUGUAGAGUUAAGCGGUCCCUAAGCAAAAUUCGAAAGAAGUAUGCGAUGGGCUAGAAAGACUUAAAGAAAGUAAAUUUUAUUGAACUCUUGAUAGGCUUUCAGUUGAAUUUGUGGACAGUUUUAAAUAGCGGUUUCAUAUAUGGAAAUGAUUGACUCCGUGAACUAUAGACUCUAGAAAAAACAAAUUCUUAAAUAAACCGUACCUUAAACCGACACAGGUGGGCGGGCAUAAAUGUGCUAAGGCGCGCGGGAGAACUGUCUUGAAGGAACUCGGCAAAAAAAACCUCGUAACUUCGGAAUAAGAGGGGGUUUAUUAACGAUAAACCUACAAAUAACACGGGAUAGCGACUGUUUAAUAAAAACACAGGUCUUUGCUAAUUCGCAAGAAGACGUAUAAAGGCUGACAACUGCCCGGUGCUGGAAGAUUAACUCAAGAAAAGUGUAAGCUUUCAAGGGAAGUCCCAGUAAACGGCGGCGGUAACUCUGACCGUCCUAAGGUAGCGAAAUUCCUUGUCCACUAAUUAUGGUCCUGCAUGAAUGUUGUAACGACUGUCCCACUGUCUCCAAGACAGACCCGGUGAAAUUGAAUUCUCCGUGAAGAUGCGGAGUUCCCGCGGUCAGACGGAAAGACCCCGUGAA